rnacentral:rRNA from 1 species
AUGAACGCUGGCGGCGUGCCUAAUACAUGCAAGUCGAGCGAACAGACGAGGAGCUUGCUCCUCUGACGUUAGCGGCGGACGGGUGAGUAACACGUGGAUAACCUACCUAUAAGACUGGGAUAACUUCGGGAAACCGGAGCUAAUACCGGAUAAUAUAUUGAACCGCAUGGUUCAAUAGUGAAAGACGGUUUUGCUGUCACUUAUAGAUGGAUCCGCGCCGCAUUAGCUAGUUGGUAAGGUAACGGCUUACCAAGGCAACGAUGCGUAGCCGACCUGAGAGGGUGAUCGGCCACACUGGAACUGAGACACGGUCCAGACUCCUACGGGAGGCAGCAGUAGGGAAUCUUCCGCAAUGGGCGAAAGCCUGACGGAGCAACGCCGCGUGAGUGAUGAAGGUCUUCGGAUCGUAAAACUCUGUUAUUAGGGAAGAACACAUGUGUAAGUAACUAUGCACGUCUUGACGGUACCUAAUCAGAAAGCCACGGCUAACUACGUG